rnacentral:rRNA from 1 species
UACGUAGGGUGCAAGCGUUAAUCGGAAUUACUGGGCGUAAAGCGUGCGCAGGCGGUUUUGUAAGUCUGACGUGAAAUCCCCGGGCUUAACCUGGGAAUUGCGUUGGAGACUGCAAGGCUGGAGUCUGGCAGAGGGGGGGUAGAAUUCCACGUGUAGCAGUGAAAUGCGUAGAGAUGUGGAGGAACACCGAUGGCGAAGGCAGCCCCCUGGGUCAAGACUGGACGCUCAUGCACGAAAGCGUGGGG